rnacentral:rRNA from 1 species
GAUGAACGCUGGCGGCGUGCUUAACACUUGCAAGUCGAACGGUGAACACGGAGCUUGCUCUGUGGGAUCAGUGGCGAACGGGUGAGUAACACGUGAGCAACCUGCCCCUGACUCUGGGAUAAGCGCUGGAAACGGCGUCUAAUACUGGAUAUGUGACGUGACCGCAUGGUCUGCGUUUGGAAAGAUUUUUCGGUUGGGGAUGGGCUCGCGGCCUAUCAGCUUGUUGGUGAGGUAAUGGCUCACCAAGGCGUCGACGGGUAGCCGGCCUGAGAGGGUGACCGGCCACACUGGGACUGAGACACGGCCCAGACUCCUACGGGAGGCAGCAGUGGGGAAUAUUGCACAAUGGGCGCAAGCCUGAUGCAGCAACGCCGCGUGAGGGAUGACGGCCUUCGGGUUGUAAACCUCUUUUAGCAGGGAAGAAGCGAAAGUGACGGUACCUGCAGAAAAAGCGCCGGCUAACUACGUG